AGCUCCAAUAGCGUAUAUUAAAGUUGUUGUGGUUAAAAAGCUCGUAGUUGGAUGUCGGUGGCCCAAGGGAGGUUCUCUUGCUAGAGGUACUGCCCUAUGGGCUGUAAUGUUGACAGAAGUUAUGGGAUGCUCUUAAACGAGUGGCUUGUGAUGCUGGCGUGUUUACUUUGAAAAAAUUAGAGUGCUCAAAGCAGGCUUCUAUGCCUGAAUAUUCGUGCAUGGAAUAAUAGAAUAGGAAGUUGUUUCUAUUUUGUUGGUUUUUGGAAAUCAACUUAAUGAUUAAUAGGGACAGUCGGGGGCAUUUGUAUUCAAACGACAGAGGUGAAAUUCUUGGACCGUUUGAAGACAAACUACUGCGAAAGCAUUUGCCAAGAAUGUUUUCAUUA
rnacentral:rRNA from 1 species